AGAGUUUGAUCCUGGCUCAGAAUCAACGCUGGCGGCGUGCCUAACACAUGCAAGUCGAACGCGAAAGCCCCGCAAGGGGUAAGUAGAGUGGCAAACGGGUGAGUAACACGUGGGUGACCUGCCUUCGAGUGGGGGAUAACGUCCCGAAAGGGACGCUAAUACCGCAUAACAUCCUGCGUUUGGAAACGUGGAGAUCAAAGCCGGGGAUCGCAAGACCUGGCGCUUGAAGAGGGGCCCGCGCCUGAUUAGCUAGUUGGUAGGGUAACGGCCUACCAAGGCAACGAUCAGUAUCCGGCCUGAGAGGGCGGACGGACACACUGGGACUGAGACACGGCCCAGACUCCUACGGGAGGCAGCAGUGGGGAAUUGUUCGCAAUGGGCGCAAGCCUGACGACGCAACGCCGCGUGGAGGACGAAGAUCUUCGGGUCGUAAACUCCUGUCGAGCGGGAAAAACGCUUCGGAACCCAAUAUGUUCCGGAAUUGAUGGUACCGCUAAAGGAAGCCCCGGCUAACUCCGUGCCAGCAGCCGCGGUAAUACGGGGGGGGCAAGCGUUGUUCGGAAUUACUGGGCGUAAAGGGCUCGUAGGCGGCCAACUAAGUCGGAUGUGAAAUCCCCAGGCUCAACUUGGGAACUGCAUCCGAUACUGGAUGGCUUGAAUCCGGGAGAGGGAUGCAGAAUUCCAGGUGUAGCGGUGAAAUGCGUAGAUAUCUGGAGGAAUACCGGUGG
rnacentral:rRNA from 1 species